CAAAUGUAUACUGACCAGCCACAACAAUAAAACCACCAGCCUACAGUUAUGUAGGUCCCCCUUUGUCCUUCCAAAACAGCUCUGAUGCUUCGAGACACGGACUACACAAAACCUUUGAACUGAUCCUGGGGUAUCUGGUAGCAAGACAUUAGCAGCAGGUCCCUUAAGUUCGGCAAGUUGUGAGGUGGGGCAUACAAUACUUCUUGCCUAACAAAGAGCAUAUGUGUAUAAUGGUGUGAUAGCACUGCACUCCAGGUUUACAUUCCUAUACAAACAAAAAAUCUGUAGAGCCCGAAAGCCAGCCUGCAGCCAGGGAUGAGUGGCCCAUAUCCCACCGCAUAGACUGGUAUAUGUGGGAUACAUUUUAGUACAAUAUUUUCCAAAAUCUCCCUGCUCCCCUUUAAUAUAUAGACCAUGCCUCUCCAUCUAUGUGAAAACCCCAAUUAUUAUCUGGUAACAAGUAUACCAACAUGGUCCUCACACCUUUAAUAGCUUUGCUAUGUUUUCACUCUGAACGUGUCCUAUGGAAUCUGGCACUAAGACAUUAGCUUCAGAAACUUUAAGUCCUGCAAGUUGCAAAGAGGGACCUCCAUGGAUUGGAUUUGUUGUUCCAGCACAUCCCACAAAUGCCUAAUUAGGGUGAGAUCUGGAGAAUUUGGAGGCCGAGUCAACACCUUGAACUCUGUGUGAUGUUCCUCAAACCAU